rnacentral:lncRNA from 1 species
GCUGUACUAUUACACUAUCCUGGUCACAGUUCUAUAGUGAGAGGGUGUACUGUGUGACUAUCCUGGUCACAGUUCUAUAGUGAGAGGGUGUACUGUUACACUAUCCUGGUCACAGUUCUAUAGUGAGAGGCUGUACAGUGUGACUAUCCUGGUCACAGUUCAAUAGUGAGAGGCUGUACUGUUACACUAUCCUGGUCACAGUUCUAUAGAGAGAUGCUGUACUGUUACACUAUCCUGGUCACAGUUCUAUAGUGAGAGGCUGUACUAUUACACUAUCCUGGUCACAGUUCUAUAGUGAGAGGGUGUACUGUGUGACUAUCCUGGUCACAGUUCUAUAGUGAGAGGGUGUACUGUUACACUAUCCUGGUCACAGUUCUAUAGUGAGAGGCUGUACUGUUACACUAUCCUGGUCACAGUUCUAUAGUGAGAGGCUGUACUGUUACACUAUCCUGGUCACAGUUCUAUAGUGAGAGGCUGUACUGUGUGAAUAUCCUGGUCACAGUUCUAUAGUGAGAGGCUGUACUGUUACACUAUCCUGGUCACAGUUCUAUAGUGAGAGGCUGUACUGUGUGUGUGUGUGUGUGUGUGUGUCUGUGUGUGUGUGUGUGUAUACGUCUGUUUGUCUCUGUGUGUGUGUGUGUGUCUGUCUGUCUGUCUGUCUGUCUGUCUGUCUGUCUGUCUGUCUGUCUGUCUGUCUGUCUGUCUGUCUGUCUGUCUGUCUGUCUGUCUGUCUGUCUGUCUCUGUGUGUGUGUGUGUACGGCUGUACAGUACCAGGAUUAAACUGCCAGUUAUAUUCACUGUGAAUCACUGGAACGGUUCCGUGAAUGAACUCCUUACACAGGCACACGUUGUCCAAAUAAUAACACACAAUCCUUUUAUAGGGCUUCUCCUAAACCCACAGAGGAAACCUGAAGUCCAUCUGCCUACAGAGGAACUCCUUACAAACUUGGACAAAAAUAGAAAUAUCUUCCACACACUCUAGUUCCUCCGUACAUUUCUUGUGGGUGACGUUUGGGUACAAUACCUUUUUUGUUAUCUCAUAACAGCCACACACAAACAGUUCAAUUAUUAUAUUCUGCCAUGUGAAAUAAUUCAAUGGAUUUGAAAAACUUGAACUUGAACAUUGUAAUUCGUUGUUGUUAUUGAGAAAUGGAGUUGUGGCACAUUACACAGUUCAGAGACCUUGACUGAUAAAUACAAUUUUACGGUAGAUGAAUGACAAGAUAUAAUGUAUAAUUAAAUUCUGCAGUCAAACUUUUUUCAUUAUGUAAGCCAAAAAUGUUUGUGGAUAUGUGUGCA